CCCAAGACGACGAUUUCACCGCUUUCCAUCGUUCUGUCGUCCAUCUCUCUGUUUUACCCUCGCUCUCCAUGACCGCAUCGUUCAACCCAAGUCACUGUUGAAAGCAUUUCAGGUAACAAUCCAUCGUUCAGUCGUCCAUCUCUCUGAUUUGGGUUUGUUUAUUUCAGUCGUCCAUCUCUCUGUUUUACCCUCGCUCUCCAUCACUGCAUCGUUCAACCCAAGUCACUGUUGAAAGCAUUUCAGGUCCUGAACAUCCAAGCUGGUCUAGAUGUUUCUAUGUGUGGAUUAUUCAACCAGCCCUUGCAGCUGUUGGAGCUCCUGAAAAUCCUGUUGAAGUAAUAACUGGCUUUCAAAAUGGAUGGCUAACAAAAAGAGCAAGCUGCAACCAGCGGGUGUUGCAGUUCAUUUGGAUUUAGUAUCAAAAGUUCAUGGGCUGGAAGAAGUAGAGAAAUCUGGUGCAAAAUCUUUAGGUGAUGAAAUUACUGAAGCUCAGGAAUAUGAUGAAAUGGAAGCCGAGUCAUCGCUAAGCAAGUGAGAACAGGUUCUGAGUCCUUAUUGUUUGUAAGUUUCUUAAAGAACGCUAUUUGGCAACUUCUGUGUUUUCCAUUUCUGCGGGUUUCUGUUAGAUUGUAAAUUUGUUCGGUAGRACGAAGAUAUAACUAAAUAUGCAGAUUUCAUAUCUAUAAGUUGCUUUAUUGCAGAUAUAGUUACAUAUUUCACAUCGACCCCUUAUAUUCUAAAUGUGAGGAGAAAAUAGAUAUGACCUCUAAACCACAAUUGGAUUCUGAAUUGAAACAGAAAUAUGGACUCGUAUUAACCGAGUUAUUGUUUGUGCAUAAAAAUUAUGUGUAAAAACCCACUAGAGUGAAGAUGGGUAAACAUAACUGCUCCGGACCAUUCCAACUUAACCAAAUCUGGCUCGACUUCAUAACUGGUUAUGAAAGGACUGAACUGGAUCAGUUAGGGACCGGUCAGCCAACCGGUUAAAACCAAAGGGACCUAUACAGGGUUUUUUCUGGGACCGGUUACAAGGACCAGGUUGAAGGCCCCGUCCAUGGGACUUGGUAAGAGUCUUGCCCAUCUGUUCUUCUAGCUCAUUUUCUUUUAUUUCCUUAAGCUAUCUUUUGUUGGCCUUUUACACCUUUUUUAGGAACCAAAUGUAAUGGGCCRUUUAUUAAAA